rnacentral:rRNA from 1 species
GCGAGUCGAGCGUCUCUAGUUAUGGUGAGACGCGGCAGACGGCUCAGUAACACGUGGCUAACCUACCCUCAGGACAGGGACAAACCCGGGAAACUGGGGCUAAUACCCGAUAGGCGAGGACGCCUGGAAUGGUUCUUCACCGAAAGGGCUUUGGAAGCAUGCUUUCCACUGUCGCCUGAGGAUGGGGCCGCGUCCGAUCAGGUCGUUGGCGAGGUAACGGCUCACCAAGCCUAUAACCGGUACGGGCCGUGAGAGCGGUAGCCCGGAGAUGGGUACUGAGACAAGGACCCAGGCCCUACGGGGCGCAGCAGUCGCGAAAACUCCGCAAUGCACGAAAGUGUGACGGGGCUACCCCGAGUGCCGUCCGCUAAGGAUGGCUUUUCCUCGGUGUAACUAGCCGGGGGAAUAAGGAGAGGGCAAGACUGGUGUCAGCCGCCGCGGUAAUACCAGCUCUCCGAGUUGUAGGGAUGAUUAUUGGGCUUAAAGCGUCCGUAGCCGGCUUAGCAAGUCUCUUGUUAAAUUCAGCGACCUAAUCGUUGAGCCGCGGGAGAUACUACUAGGCUAGGAGGCGGGAGAGGCCGACGGUACUUCCGGGGUAGGGGUGAAAUCCUAUAAUCCCGGGAGGACCACCAGUGGCGAAGGCUGUUGGCUAGAACGCGCUCGACGGUGAGGGACGAAAGCUGGGGUAGCGAACCGGAUUAGAUACCCGGGUAGUCCCAGCUGUAAACGAUGCGGGCUAGGUGUUGGGGUGGCCACGAGCCACUUCAGUGCCGCAGGGAAGCCAUUAAGCCCGCCGCCUGGGGAGUACGGCCGCAAGGCUGAAACUUAAAGGAAUUGGCGGG